AGAGUUUGAUCCUGGCUCAGGACGAACGCUGGCGGCGUGCCUAAUACAUGCAAGUCGAGCGGACCGGAUUGGGGCUUGCCUUGAUUCGGUCAGCGGCGGACGGGUGAGUAACACGUGGGCAACCUGCCCGCAAGACCGGGAUAACUCCGGGAAACCGGAGCUAAUACCGGAUAACACCGAAGACCGCAUGGUCUUCGGUUGAAAGGCGGCCUUUGGGCUGUCACUUGCGGAUGGGCCCGCGGCGCAUUAGCUAGUUGGUGAGGUAACGGCUCACCAAGGCGACGAUGCGUAGCCGGCCUGAGAGGGUGACCGGCCACACUGGGACUGAGACACGGCCCAGACUCCUACGGGAGGCAGCAGUAGGGAAUCUUCCGCAAUGGGCGAAAGCCUGACGGAGCGACGCCGCGUGAGCGAAGAAGGCCUUCGGGUCGUAAAGCUCUGUUGUGAGGGACGAAGGAGUGCCGUUCGAAGAGGGCGGCGCGGUGACGGUACCUCACGAGAAAGCCCCGGCUAACUACGUG
rnacentral:rRNA from 1 species